CCACAACCCAGCCUCUAUGCUGUUUAUUUAAUAAAGUUUGCCCCCAGAGAGAGCAAGCGGGAAGCUAAGACAAGAGGCAGAUGGCGCCACGCUUCCCUUUGAGGCUGUUCCCUGACUAGAAAGCUAUGAAAUAUUCAAGACUAUUUUGAGAAAUGACCUUUUUAAUUUUUUUUUAUUUUUAAAGACCAUACUCCCUCUCUUCUUGAUGCUUUUUAGAUGAAGGGAAAACACUUAGGAAUGCAGGGCAUGAGUUUGAAGUUUGCAGCUUAUCAAUGCUGUCAGAGAAGAGACUUUCAAUUCUAACGUCCUUCAUAUUCCACAAGAAUUCUGAAUUCCUCUUUGUCAUUUUUGGUUUAGCAAAAUCACCAGUGCACACUCUCUCUGCACACACACACACACACACACACACACCCUGAUUGUUUUUGAUUUAAUAAUCGAAGCAUAGGCCACUGGGGUCCACGGAGGGUCGAGUGCCGUCCUGGCUGUGCAGCUCCCUUGUGACGUGCAGAACAGGCUCACCCAUCCCGGGGAGGUCAGGGAGAAAAGACUCCUCUGCAUUUCUCCUGCUUUCUUUCCUGCCAGGCAGAGUGCCCCACAACGCUGCUGAUGACUCACUGGAGCUGCCUUCCCACCCUUCCAUGUUUUCAAGUAUCUCCCUGCUCACAAUCACAUUCUGGCACUUGCUGGGCCAGCUCUUGCAUGGCCUUCAUCUCAAGAUUUAUUUCUCCCAUCAGUGUCAACUGUGCUACAAGCCCCUUCAGUCACAUUUAAGAAGAAACAGAGAGACCUUGGCUUCUUGUUCUUCCUUAAGAGUCUUAGGGUAACUGGAGAUGAGAAGCGAGGAUGCUUGUUGGAAAGCCACACUGAAGGACACAUGCCUCUUCCAGAGCCCGAAGCCAGUUCCAGCUCUCAGGUGGGUUCCCUCCCACCCUCUCACCCCUGGACCUCACAUGACAAUGCUUUCUCUCCUACACGAGUGUGCUGUGGAUCCCGAGAGAAAACUGGGGAUGUUGACAGUAGUGUGGUGGCUCCUCAAAAAAAACUAACAAUAGAUCCACCAUGGUCUCCCUUUGUUGGGUACACAUCUGAAGGAAGUGAACUCAGCAUCUGA
rnacentral:lncRNA from 1 species